AGCAGUCGCCGCGGGAAUACAGAGGGUGCGAGCGUUAAUCGGAUUUACUGGGCGUAAAGCGUGCGUAGGCGGCUUUUUAAGUCGGAUGUGAAAUCCCUGAGCUUAACUUAGGAAUUGCAUUCGAUACUGGGAACCUAGAGUAUGGGAGAGGAUGUUAGAAUUCCAGGUGUAGCGGUGAAAUGCGUAGAGAUCUGGAGGAAUACCGAUGGCGAAGGCAGCCAUCUGGCCUAAUACUGACGCUGAGGUACGAAAGCAUGGGGAGCAAACAGGAUUAGAUACCCCGUAGUCCCUGUCUCUUAUACA
rnacentral:rRNA from 1 species